GUAGACGAAGCACGGGCUAACUACGUGCCAGCAGCCGCGGUAAUACGUAGGGUGCGAGCGUUGUCCGGAUUUAUUGGGCGUAAAAGAGCUCGUCGGCGGUUUGUCGCGUCUAUCGUGAAAACCGGGAGCUUAACUCCUGGCUGCGGUGGAUACGGGCAGACUUGAGUUCGGUAGGGGAGACUGGAAUUCCUGGUGUAGCGGUGAAAUGCGCAGAUAUCAGGAGGAACACCGGUGGCGAAGGCGGGUCUCUGGGCCGAUACUGACGCUGAGGAGCGAAAGCGUGGGGAGCGAACAGGAUUAGAUACCCUGGUAGUCCACGCCGUAAACGUUGGGCGCUAGGUGUGGGGAUGGGUUCCACUGUUUCCGUGCCGUAGCUAACGCAUUAAGCGCCCCGCCUGGGGAGUACGGCCGCAAGGCUAAAACUCAAAGGAAUUGACGGGGGCCCGCACAAGCGGCGGAGCAUGUGGAUUAAUUCGAUGCAACGCGAAGAACCUUACCUGGGUUUGACAUGCACUAGACAGCCCCUGAGAGGGGGUUUCCCUUGUGGUUGGUGUACAGGUGGUGCAUGGCUGUCGUCAGCUCGUGUCGUGAGAUGUUGGGUUAAGUCCCGCAACGAGCGCAACCCUUGCCCUACGUUGCCAGCGGGUUAUGCCGGGGACUCGUGGGGGACUGCCGGGGUCAACUCGGAGGAAGGUGGGGAUGACGUCAAGUCAUCAUGCCCCUUAUGCCCAGGGCUUCACACAUGCUACAAUGGCUGGUACAGAGGGUUGCGAUACUGUGAGGUGGAGCGAAUCCCUUAAAGCCGGUCUCAGUUCGGAUCGGGGUCUGCAACUCGACCCCGUGAAGUUGGAGUCGCUAGUAAUCGCAGAUCAGCAUUGCUGCGGUGAAUACGUUCCCGGGCCUUGUACACACCGCCCGUCACGUCAUGAAAGUCGGUAACACCCGAAGCCCAUGGCCCAACCCUUGUGGGGGGAGUGUUCGAAAGUGGACCGACGGCCCA
rnacentral:rRNA from 1 species